rnacentral:rRNA from 1 species
GGGCCCGCACAAGCGGUGGAGCAUGUGGUUUAAUUCGAUGAUACGCGAGGAACCUUACCAGGGCUUAAAUGUAAGUUGCAUAGAUCAGAGAUGGUCUUUUCUUCGGACUACUUACAAGGUGCUGCAUGGUUGUCGUCAGCUCGUGCCGUGAGGUGUCAGGUUAAGUCCUAUAACGAGCGCAACCCCUGUCGUUAGUUACCAGCAAGUAAUGUUGGGUACUCUAGCGAGACUGCCGGUGCAAACCGUGAGGAAGGUGUGGAUGACGUCAAGUCCUCAUGGCCCUUACGGGUUGGGCUACACACGUGCUACAAUGGUAGUGACAAUGGGUUAAUCCCAAAAAGGCUAUCU